CCACUCGUCGCUCGACGAAAUCAACGACGUCCAAGACGCUGCAUUUUGGACAAUGGAACGAUGCAAGUUAACGGACGAGGAUUAUUUAUUCCUGAAGUGAUUAUCGGCCAUUGUUGAAGUAUCAAUCGUGAGGUAACACUGGAUUAUCACUGAGAGAGAAAACGAAAGAGAAUACGUCGAUAAAAUGACGAACGAGUCUUUCUCUAAAAGAGGCAAACUUUGAAACUGAAUAUUUUAUUGUCGACUAUUCUUCCUUCAUCAUUUUUAAUCAAUUAGCUUUCUUUCCUUUAUUCUCUUUAAGCCAUUUCUACGAAUCUCGAUAUAUCACUCGUCGAACAAGUCGCCGCCGUUAAUACUUCGUAAAAGAAUACACGCGUUCUUUCGUUUGAAACUACACUCGAAAGCAUCCAGUGUCGCACCCUGGCGACUAGUAGCGGCAACUAGACGGCCGCCAUUCGAGCUGUAACGGUCGAAUCUCCGUGGGCUCCUUGUAACUUACGACGUCGCGGCGCAGAAAGACAAUGGCACGGUCGAGACUUGCGUCACGUUCCACGUGCACGCGUUACCGCCCUUUGAUAAGUAAUAACGUAAAUACAUAUAGAGGGGAUGAUAUUCUAAUCUUCGAGAUAACAGAAAGCCUCGGCGUGGUCGGAGAAAAAAUGAUUGAGGUAGUGAAGUAAGGUUAUAAAUAAUCGCAAGAGUAUACGCUCGCCAGUUUAUCGCGUAAUAAAAGUACAAGAGGAGUAAACUCAGCUGAGAUGAACAAGGAAGCAAAACCAUAUGCAACAAUGGCGGACGUGAAUAUCGCCAAGUCGACAAACGUAAAGGACAGGUAAAAAUUCAUGAAAUCAUUUUUGACGUCUCGUUUUCUCCAUCUGGAUUUGUGUGUAUGUGUUCCUGAGGACGUUGUCCGGUAAGCCUCUGGGGUAUUGGUUAGCAAGAGUAUACACGAGGGGUGCAUAAAAUCAUUUAACAGAAGAGGGUGGAGAGUGAAUCCAGGAUGUAUAACAAUACGGUAUACAGGAAGAGAGGAAGAGAGCGUGUUGCUGGUGUAUAAGCAUAAAGGGUGAGUUGGACGUACACUCGUUAACCUAGAAAACGACGGCAAAAGCAGGACUGACUGACUGACUGACUGUGGUUACCUUGCUAUUCGCUCGAGUAGUUACUAACCAAUCUUACAAGAGUAUUCUAGGUUAGGUUGGCAUACUGCGAUGCAAACGAUCCGGCCAUUCUGAUAAUCAUCGUAUUGGAAAUGGCUUUGAAAUCAAGGCGUAACUGUACGUACGUGCUGUAUAUAAACUAUUGAGAAUCGGUUGUCUGUCGUUUCUACCCUGCCGAAGAUCAGUAGAAUCAGUGGUAAAGGUUGUCUCAGUUAUAUUCCACUAUGCUGACAGAAAGAAAACGUUCGUCGACCUCUGAUUUGCCAUCAUGAACGACGAGAUUAAUUCAAUCACCCAUUUUCCCACUGGACAGCGAUUAAGCGCAAGUUACAAGUAAUAUCAUGUACCUUCAAAAAAAAAAUGCAUAUCCUCCUGAAUUAUGUUCCAAAUUUUUCUAGAGACUUUACGAAGGCAGAGGAAAUAAGAUGCUUGGCAGAAUUGUUUGUCGACGAAACCCAUAAGUAAUUAGCGAGGAUCGAUCCUGGAGGCUUUCUAAAGUGUCUCUUAGAGAGAGAGAGAGAGAGAGAGAGACGCCCAUGUACGUAUAUAUAUGUAUCUAUGCACAUACAGCGUCCCCGAUGGUUGUUACAUAGUCCGUAGGUUGGCAGACCUGCCCUAUGAAUCAUCGCAGUAUCCCGACAGCCGAAUGAUCACCCAGCGUACACGAAUGGAAUGGAAGCUCACGCGGCAUUUCGUUGUGCCUGAGUCAGAGGGAAAAUGGCCGUGUUAUUAAAUCGAUCGGUGCCUCUGGACAGAGCUCGUUCGCCGACCGAAGAAAAGAGAAGAGUAGGAGAAAUAGAGAGGAAAGUAAAAAAUACCAAAAAAAAAAUAACAAGUACCUAUCUUCGCGAGAUGAUUAAACUGCGGUUUGCUCGGCCGGUAAUGCAGAGAGGUAUAUCGUUACUCAAAAUUGCAACUGACUCUAUAUAAUUAGACAAGGCCAAGGAUGACCUCGAUUGAUAGUCAAAAAUUGAGUCUGCAUAGCCGACAGUAGAGGAGACGCUCGUCUCGUGCGAGCGUUAACCGAUCAUGAAAAGAAAAAGAAAAAUGCGUGCCGUGAUCUGCGCGAGGGAUCUCGGCAGAGUCCGCGACACGAACGUGGCUGGUCGGUAGGAGAAAAUAGCCUGGCAAUGGCGGCUGAGGAGGAGGAGAGCAGCAGCAGCAGGAGAGUAGAGAAAAAGGAAGCCUACAAAGACGAGUUAGAAGAUUCGUGGCAUACACAGGCUAUAUGCCCUGAUGGUAAAACAGUUCGGACGUUAGUCCUGCACCUGUGUGCGAGUAUUCGGCCAAGGCAAUGAUUCAUGGCGUGGAAGGAGCCUGAGUGGGAGAGCGAUGGAGGGAACGCCGAGGAGAUCGAUGCUAACGUAUAACGAGAAGUGUAACCUAGCGUUACUGGAUGCACUUGAAGUAGGCGUUCAGAAAGACCGUGUGAAUUUACUCAGAGAGAGAGGGGGAUUUUAAGAUAGUCGUAUCGAUACGAUAAUAUACAGUGCAACACAGGUACUACACAGAGAAAGGACUAUUGAGAAAAAUUUUCAGUUAUACUCCAACCGAAAGUUGGGGGGAGAAAGUGAAUGGCUUCACGAAUUGGAAUGCCCCGUAAGAAAAGAAGGAAAAGACCAGAUAAGAAAAUUGGCGCGUUCCCAAAUCGGAUUAAUUCGGUUCGCGUUUGGAGACCACGUCGCCAUGGCGGCUACAGCAUGGACGCUUCCUUGCACCGUUCGACGAAACAACAUUUUGACUCAAUCCUAGCCCAAGUAGGUGGGUUCUGUACACCCCGAUUGAAUUAACAGUGAAUAAUUCAUGAAUACUGAAUACGUACAGUAUCCAUUCGAUCUCGUGAUAUUCCACGGAUCUGCGUCCGACAUAUUUGGACCUGGUAUCGAAGCUGAAUUUUACAUAUAUAGACAUACAUUAGAUGCAUCCUUCAUCCGUGGCAGGAUGAGGCGUCACAGACUGUAAUCUCUGAUCCAAAGAAUUCUUAUUCAUCCAAUACCAAUCCGGCUGGACGAACCUGCUGGACCGACCAGACUUCACCAUGGAGCAGCGCCCUUCUUUGUUGCUUAAGCCUUAAGCUAUUCUGCGCCAGUCCGCAGCGGCUCAAGGCUGCCAGGAACCACUUGCCAACGGAAGACAACAGCCCAAACCGCAGAUGCCCGGGAUACAGUUCGUACCAAGUAGAUCCCCGUGGCAGCUGGGGACUUCGAUUGCCACAAAACUCUUCGUGUUUCCUCGAGAUCCACUGCCAACGAUAUUCGCCAUCGCUAGCCAGCCAUUUCCACGCUUCAGGGUCAAUAAUUUCAAACCACUUUCCAGAACACGAAGGCACGUACCACUGUUUGGACGGACUUGACCAAUCUCCGGAAUGCCCAGGAAUACCCCGUACACACCGACAAACCAGUCUGAGCUCCCAUCCAGAGGUCCUGUAUCAGCACUAGCAAAGCUACACGACGCGUACAGUCAAUUAGUACGUUCGUCCACGUAUACGGUAGAUCUACAGGCACGCACGCCGAAUUACAAGACCGAUAGAAAGCAAAGUGAUAACGAAUAACUAUUAAUAAUAAAGCAAGAGAAAAAUGAUAUCCGCGUCAAAAGACUUUUAGACCCGACGAUAUUCUCCUCGGGAGAACCGGACGACGACCCUCGGCCAGGAGUUCGCACUCCCCGGACCACGGGGCCUGGAUACGAGCAAGGGGGAUCCUCGGGAAAGACGAGCGGCAGCUUCGUACGUACGAGCUACGAGAAUAUAAGGAAACAAAAAAAAAAGGAGAUGCCGCCCCGGGACAAGAACUCGAGACGAGGUUCUCUGCAUUCCGGACUCGGCGGUUCGAUUGCUCCUCUUGGUUCGCGUGAAGUGAAACCCGGACUGUACGUCGUUCCACGUUCCAGCGUUCCCUCGUUCAGAGAUUUACCCACGCUCGCCAAAGGUGCACGCAUCGUGCUGACCCAAUUUACGACAUAACGUAAAACUCUCCUACGUCAGAUAUGUACGUGUUCAUAUAUAUGUCUAUGGAACGAGACGUUACGUAAUCCAUAAGCGCUAUAUGGGAAUACGAAUGAGUUGAUCUUUAAGAAAAGCCACAAUCCGUCUUUUUCUUUUUGUUCCCUUACGGGCGCGAUACAACCGGUGCAGAUAAAUUAUCGUUGCCGAGCUUGCUGCACGCUAAGAGGCAUUAUACGUGUUACGUAUCCUGGUCCUCGGGUAGGAGGAUAAAAAUGAAAUCCUUUGACAAGUCUGACGCGUCCAGGGCAAUUUCAUUUCAAAGUAAUCAACGUGGUACGAAAAAAAAAAGG